AGUGAACGCUGGCGGUAGGCCUAACACAUGCAAGUCGAACGGCAGCACAGUAAGAGCUUGCUCUUACGGGUGGCGAGUGGCGGACGGGUGAGGAAUACAUCGGAAUCUACUUUUUCGUGGGGGAUAACGUAGGGAAACUUACGCUAAUACCGCAUACGACCUACGGGUGAAAGCAGGGGAUCUUCGGACCUUGCGCGAUUGAAUGAGCCGAUGUCGGAUUAGCUAGUUGGCGGGGUAAAGGCCCACCAAGGCGACGAUCCGUAGCUGGUCUGAGAGGAUGAUCAGCCACACUGGAACUGAGACACGGUCCAGACUCCUACGGGAGGCAGCAGUGGGGAAUAUUAGACAAUGGGCGCAAGCCUGAUCCAGCCGUACCGCGUGGGUGAAGAAGGCCUUCGGGUUGUAAAGCCCUUUUGUUGGGAAAGAAAAGCAGCAGGUUAAUACCCCGCUGUUCUGACGGUACCCAAAGAAUAAGCACCGGCUAACUUCGUG
rnacentral:rRNA from 1 species